ACAGGAUGAAGACUUGUGGUGACUGAGAGGACUGGACCAUGUUGCCAAUGCCUGAGGAUGCAGUGGCUCAGGAUGCUGACUAGUUGUGGGCUGGGUCAGCUGAGCAAUUUAUGUAGUGGUUUGCUGAGUUUGGGGCUCUAAUGGGAUAGAAGAUUGGAUGGCUGAACAAUACAAUCAGGAUAAAUGGCAGAGAUUCUAUACCAGAUUAGGACUGGUACAGAUGGAUGAAAGGGCCAAGAAAAGGGGAGAACAUGGCCUUUUAUCUACACUCCUCGUCACUGGCUUACAGCCUGAAUGCAGCCUGUGUACCACCACUGUGCAGAGGAAGCUCAGCAGCCGAUGGCGAGUUGAUGGCGAAACUGCAACUUGAGCAACUGCAAAGUUGGCCAAGGGAUGCACUACAGAGGGCCCAGGGAAAAUGACUUGAAGGGCAUGCAGUCUAAAAGUUCUACGUAUCUUUACUUUCCACCUCCAAUGAUGUCCAGAUGACUCAUGGUAAUUCUUCAAGGGACCAAAGCCAUUUUGUGCUGAAUGACAGCCUUAUCCUCAACAAGCU